GCUACUUAGUGGACGACGCUCUCAGGCUGGUCCGCAGUGAAGUCAGCGGCCAGCAGCAUAUAGACCCUCGUAAAUAGAUAAAAUGUCGCUCUCCGUCGUCCAGGUUGGCACUAAAACGGAACUAGGUUUUAAAGGGAACAGAAGUACAAAGUUGAGCCCACAACUCUGUCACGCUACAGGAACGUUGGCGGAGAUGACCUGACUCAUCAUGGAGGAGCUCCCAGCCUGAAACACACCACGUGGCAGAGAUGCCGUGUCUGAAGAUGGGAUUAUUGAUCCAUAUGUGGCCAAGAGUGGAAACGCGGAGAGCAUUCGUCAGAAUAUGUAUUUGCGGAGAAGUGCAGUAAUGCACCCUUGGUACUGAUCACUAAAGAAGCAUGGUUGUUGCUACAACUGAAAGGCCCGAGGAUGGUACGUUUGCACGCACACUGUUAUACACCGACAUGCAGCAUAAUUAGUAUUCCUAGCGGUGAUUAAGUCGCCACUGAGGCAUGGACGAAUUCUGUUCCAGCUUGUCUGUGGUGGAUACAGCCAGACACCAUGCAAAAGCCUAGUCACAUUUCUGCAUAAUGACUGGGUGAGUGCUUCCCUCGGCCUCAUCCAACUGUCCAGGAAUGAGUACAAUAAUACACUUAGAAAAUGAAGACGCUGCUCGACCACCAUUCAGGGCUUGUUUUUCGUAUUCAUCUUUAUUUUCUAAAUUCUGCAGUGGCUACUUCUGAAGAGGAACAGGAGAAAAGUAGUCGACUCCUUUUGUUCACGCUCCACGAGGGAAAGCAGUGUCUUGUGCUGAAAACUAGCUCCACCUGCCCUCAGAUGGUUGUUUGUACUUUAAAGCUGUACCCCACUCUUCUUUUGUAAUAAACUUGUAAAAGUGGUCAAAA